rnacentral:rRNA from 1 species
UACGUAGGGUGCAAGCGUUAAUCGGAAUUACUGGGCGUAAAGCGUGCGCAGGCGGUUUUGUAAGUCUGACGUGAAAUCCCCGGGCUCAACCUGGGAAUUGCGUUGGAGACUGCAAGGCUGGAGUCUGGCAGAGGGGGGUAGAAUUCCACGUGUAGCAGUGAAAUGCGUAGAGGUGUGGAGGAACACCGAUGGCGAAGGCAGCCCCCUGGGUCAAGACUGACGCUCAUGCACGAAAGCGUGGGGAGCAAACAGG